rnacentral:tRNA from 1 species
UGAGCUAUGGUGUAAUGGAAGCACAACAGAUUUUGGUUCUGUUUGUCUUGGUUCGAAUCCAGGUAGCUCAA